rnacentral:rRNA from 1 species
UACGGAGGGGGUUAGCGUUGUUCGGAAUUACUGGGCGUAAAGCGCGCGUAGGCGGACCAGAAAGUUGGGGGUGAAAUCCCGGGGCUCAACCCCGGAACGGCCUCCAAAACUCCUGGUCUUGAGUUCGAGAGAGGUGAGUGGAAUUCCGAGUGUAGAGGUGAAAUUCGUAGAUAUUCGGAGGAACACCAGUGGCGGAGGCGGCUCACUGGCUCGAUACUGACGCUGAGGUGCGAAAGUGUGGGGAGCAAACAGG